rnacentral:rRNA from 1 species
UACGAAGGGGGCUAGCGUUGUUCGGAAUUACUGGGCGUAAAGCGCGCGCAGGCGGUUCGCCAAGUUGGGGGUGAAAUCCCCGGGCUCAACCCGGGAAUGGCCUUCAAGACUGUCGAUCUAGAGGACGAGAGAGGUGAGUGGAAUUCCCAGUGUAGAGGUGAAAUUCGUAGAUAUUGGGAAGAACACCGGUGGCGAAGGCGGCUCACUGGCUCGUUUCUGACGCUGAGGCGCGAAAGCGUGGGGAGCAAACAGG